CUCUGAGAGGCGUGGUUCUGUGGGGAGGUGGGGAGGGACGGAGGGCUACUGACCACAGUCUGGCUCUGGAUGCUAGAACCUGCAGUCCCAGGGUGUGCGGGGCACCCGUUGGGGGCGCUCGCUGUGUGGCUCUGAGCUGGUUUGCACACCUCUCUGAGUCUCAAUGGCCACUAGCAAAAUGGUAGCGCUUGGUGCGGGGCUGUAAGCCAGCGCUAGGACUCUGGCUUCCUCACUAGGCUGCCGGAUAACUUUGGUAGACUAGUCAUAAUAAUAGUACAACCUCCUGGGUUAUUAGGAAGAUUAAACGAGUUAGUAUUUGGAUGGUGUUUACAACCGCGUGUGUUAUGUGUAAAGUGGCAUUAAGUUCAUUAGAGAGACCACGGGAGGUCUGGCUCCGAAGCUGAAUUCUCUCUCCUUGCUCCGUGUUCCUGUGCCCAAGGCCAAGCUCCUCUUUUGCUCCUAGACACCAUGCCCACCACUUCUCUAAGCUGUAAAACCACCACCUCCCUCCAUUUCUGACUUUAUGGUGACACCUAAGUGUGAAGACCAGAGAGGCUGGGUGUCUAAAUGGUUAAGGACAUAGAACACCUUGGCAUUGAACCAGCUCACCUAUAAACCGCCUCUAGCUGGUCCUGGGCAAGCUCCCAGCCAAUGAGCAGCGGGUUUCUCCUGGAUAAAAUGAGAUUUGUUAUCAAACCCUGGGCUAUGAGAAUUACAGGUGAGCUCCUGGAGUGGUGAGUAGGACAGUCAAUAGCCUCUGUGGUCCCUCCAGUCCAUGUCCCAUCUAGGUUCACCUGAAGGGGGGAUCUGGGAGAAAUGACUUUCUGUUAGAGACAGGAAGCUGAGCUGUGUGCCAGGUGCUGGCCUAGGAGGGCACCCUAAUUGAGCAUGGACCCCUGAAAAGUAAAGCAUGUGGAACUGAUCUGAAUUGCUGCGUGCGAAUUCUAGAGUGAGGACACCCAGAGCUCACCGCUUUGGUUUGCUUCUACCUGCACGUCAUAUUUUAUUGUUGUUUGUCAGUGUGCCGUAAGCUAGGGUUAUCCAGGAAGAAGACCCUAAAUUAAGAAAAUGACUCUAUAAAGAUGGGCCCAUAGGCAAGUCUGUCAGUUUUUUGUUUGUUUGUUUUUGUUUUUUUGAGACAGGAUCUCUCUUUGUAGCCCUGAACUUGCUUUGUUGACCAGGUUGGCCUUGAACCUCCAGAGAUUUGCCUGCUUCUGCCUCCAGAGUGCUGAAUUUAAAGCCUUGUACCACCAUGACCUUCCAGCAUUUUCAUGAUUAAUGAUAGAUGUGGGAAGGCCCAGCCCAUGGUGGGUGAUGCCAACCCUGGGCAGGUGGUCCUGGGAUAUAUAAGGAAGCUGAGCACAAGCCAUGGGGACUAGGGGGAGCAAGCCAGUGAACGGUGUUCUUCCAUGGUUUCUGCUUCAGUUCUUGCCUUCACACUGCUACUUUGAGUUCCUGCCCUGACUUUCCCCAGUGAUGGAGUAUGAUCUGAGAGUUGUAAGAAGACAUGAACCCUUUUCUUCCCAAGUUGCUUUUGGUGGUGGUCGUUGGCCCUGCAUAGCUGGGUCCUGGAGCCCUGAGGGGUGAUAAGGGGAGGUUCGGUCUGUGGCUAUGUUCUAUAAUGCUGAGUUCUGCACCCGAAGGUCUAAGCCUAUGAGUGAAUCCUUGGGUUUACCAGCGUUUGUUAUGCAAAUCUUGCUCCUUGAUUGAAAACUAUUAGUUAAAUAAAAUUGGCUACAGCCAAUUACUGAAGG